UACAGAGACUGCGAGCGUUAUUCGGAUUCACUGGGCGUAAAGGGUGCGCAGGCGGCCAUGUGUGUGAGGCGUGAAAGCCCGGGGCUUAACCCCGGAAUUGCACCUCAAACUACAUGGCUAGAGCAUUGGAGAGGGUAGCAGAAUUCACGGUGUAGCAGUGAAAUGCGUAGAUAUCAAGAGGAACACCUGAGGCGAAGGCGGGUUGCUAGGCUGACACUGACGCUGAGGCGCGAAAGCCAGGUGAGCAAACGGG
rnacentral:rRNA from 1 species